rnacentral:rRNA from 1 species
UGCAACUCGACUACAUGAAGCUGGAAUCGCUAGUAAUCGCGGAUCAGAAUGCCGCGGUGAAUACGUUCCCGGGUCUUGUACACACCGCCCGUCACACCAUGGGAGUUGGGAAUGCCCGAAGCCGGUGACCUAACCGAGAGGGAGGAGCCGUCGAAGGCAGGUCUGAUGACUGGGGGUGAAGUCGUAACAAGGUAUC